UUGAUUGUGGCGAAAUUGGUAGACGCAGUAAGUUUAGGUCUUAUAAGUUAUGGGUUCAAUUCCCAUCAAUCAUA
rnacentral:tRNA from 1 species